rnacentral:rRNA from 1 species
AAAGAUAAAGAAAUUUUGGUAAGUUUACCUUUUGUAUCAGGGGAGUUCAAAAGUAAAGAUAAUAAAGGAUCGAUUUAAACAGAGCUCCGUGUACGUUAAUUUUAGUUGAAUUUAUAAUUUUAAUUUGUUAUGUGGUGAAAAAUGCACGGUGUUUAUGGUAGCUAUUUGUUUUUUUUUGUUGGGGGGUAAGCUUCCAUUAACUUAACUGUGUAAAUAAGAUAGGAAAUUAGGCUUUGUAUUAGCCAGAUUACUAAAUUGUUUUAAAUAACCUAAUAAAUGUAAGGUGUAUUUUUAAGGUUAAAAGACUUGGUUUGUCAGUGUUAGCAAGCUUAAAUAAUGAAUUUAUUGAAUAAAGAAUGAAGCACUUAAAUAACUCAUGGUAGGUUAGAAUGUUUAGCAAAAACAUUUUCUUUUGGGGUGAGCAAGGUAAGACCUGCCCGGUGAUUUUUAACGGCUGCGGUAUUUUGACUGUGCUAAGGUAGCAUAAUCACUUGUUACUUAAUUGGUAACUGGAAUGAAAGGUUAAACUAAUUUCCUCAGUUUGUUGUGUUUUUUAAGAAGUUAAAGUCAAGGUAAGAAUUCUUUGAUCUGCUAGGGGACGAUAAGACCCUAGAAGCUUGACAAUGAGAAUAUUUGUUAGUUAUAAAGAUUAAUUUGUUUUACUGGGGCGGUGAAGGUAUAUAAACUAUUAGAAUAUUGAGGGAUCCUUUAAAUAAAGAUAAAACGGAAAAGUUACUCUAGGGAUAACAGUGCAAUAUUUUUGGAGAGAUCUUAUCGAUAAAAAUGUUUGCAACCUCGAUGUUGAAUUAAAAUGUCUACGUGAAGCAGCAGGUACGUGAGAGGGUUUGUUCAACCUUUAAAU